UACGUAGGGGGCUAGCGUUGUCCGGAAUCAUUGGGCGUAAAGCGCGUGUAGGCGGCCCGGUAAGUCCGCUGUGAAAGUCGGGGGCUCAACCCUCGGAUGCCGGUGGAUACUGUCGGGCUCGAGUGCGGAAGAGGCGAGUGGAAUUCCUGGUGUAGCGGUGAAAUGCGCAGAUAUCAGGAGGAACACCAAUUGCGAAGGCAGCUCGCUGGGACGGUACUGGCGCUGAGACGCGAAAGCGUGGGGAGCGAACAGG
rnacentral:rRNA from 1 species